CUAAUAUAUUAAGGUAGAAUUAUUUCGUGGCCAGGUCCUCUUGCCAACCUGGCCAUUUGGGAUCACUAAGAACCGUUCUCACUUCCCUUUAUGGCAACCUCCGAAACCAAGGCGUGACACCAGCCAAAGACCACCCUAGGGUGCUGCAGCAGUCAAGGAAAAGCCGGCCGAGAUCAAGACCAUCACCUAAGAACAGACCAGGAGAAGUCGGCCGAACAACAGUCGACUAGAGUCCACAACAACGGGAACUCCUGGGAAAGUU
rnacentral:lncRNA from 1 species